rnacentral:rRNA from 1 species
CCAGACUCCUACGGGAGGCAGCAGUAGGGAAUCUUCGGCAAUGGACGAAAGUCUGACCGAGCAACGCCGCGUGAGUGAAGAAGGUUUUCGGAUCGUAAAACUCUGUUGGUAGAGAAGAACGUUGGUGAGAGUGGAAAGCUCAUCAAGUGACGGUAACUACCCAGAAAGGGACGGCUAACUACGUGCCAGCAGCCGCGGUAAUACGUAGGUCCCGAGCGUUGUCCGGAUUUAUUGGGCGUAAAGCGAGCGCAGGUGGUUUAUUAAGUCUGGUGUAAAAGGCAGUGGCUCAACCAUUGUAUGCAUUGGAAACUGGUAGACUUGAGUGCAGGAGAGGAGAGUGGAAUUCCAUGUGUAGCGGUGAAAUGCGUAGAUAUAUGGAGGAACACCGGUGGCGAAAGCGGCUCUCUGGCCUGUAACUGACACUGAGGCUCGAAAGCGUGGGGAGCAAACAGGAUUAGAUACCCUGGUAGUCCACGCCGUAAACGAUGAGUGCUAGAUGUAGGGAGCUAUAAGUUCUCUGUAUCGCAGCUAACGCAAUAAGCACUCCGCCUGGGGAGUACGACCGCAAGGUUGAAACUCAAAGGAAUUGACGGGGGCCCGCACCAG